CAGCUCGGCCCCCUUAACCACCCAGAGCCUAGACUCAGAAGAAAAAGAGGGGUCCGACCUUAGGAGUCCGAGCUGCUGUCUUCUUCAUCCGCGGCCGCGGGGGACAGGCGGGCAGCGAGGCUGGCGGAGCGCAGCGCGGAGGCCUUGUAGGGAGGCCGGGCCCUGGAGGGGAGGGGGCCUAGUCAGAGGGAGGGGCGGCCCUCGCGUGUCCCCCGCCCCCGCCGCUCCGCCCUCCCUUACCUGGCGGCGGGGUCCUCGUCGGGGGCGCAGCAGCAGUGAGCGCAGAGGCAGGAGCCGCCCAGGAUGGAGAGCAGCGAGGCGCUCCAGCCCAGGUAGAGGGCGGGGCCCAGCUCGUACCUGGGGACACGGACGGCCAUGGGGCAGCGCUAGCUCGGGGACCGGGCCGAGUCCCACCCACCGCCCCCAAGGCCCUCAGAGCCUGCGACAGGCCUUUGCCACUCAGUGCAUGAAGGCCUGAAGCCAGCCAGACCCCUGGACUGCAGGACCAGCCUCGCUACUCGCUGGGGACUUGUCCUCCAGUAAGCCACCUGACCUUUCUGAGCCCGUUUCCACAUCUGAAGAAUGGGACAAGACCCACCCCACCUCGAUAUGAGGUGACGUGUGCAGAAACGUUUUAGCAAAUUGAAAAGGGAUGGCAAGCCACGUGGUACUGUUAUUGCGCGCAGUGUGCAUGUGUGUGUGUGCAUCCUGACUCCUGUCUUCCCAGCCAGGCUGUGAGCUCUGGAGACACUCACGCUCACCUUUGGAGUCCCUCCCACACCUCGCUUACGCCUGGCUCCUAGUGGGCGCUCAAGAAACAUUGCUGAUGGGCUGAUUUGUAGCCAAAGGAUUUGGUGAAUGUGGGUGAGGCUGAUGUAAGCAGGGAGAGAGGGAGAGCUGAGCCUGGGAGGCAAGUGUCAAUGCAAAGGGGAAAGUGAGACAAGUGCCAGGAGUGGGGAGCUGGAGAUGACAGAGAACCCCGGGGUCUGUUGCCCCCCAACCCCCCACCACAACACAGGGCCCACCAUCACCUUCCCCC